GCCGACUUAGCUCAGCUGGUAGAGCAACCGCUUCGUAAGCGGUAGGUCCACGGUUCGAAUCCGUGAGUCGGCA
rnacentral:tRNA from 1 species